rnacentral:rRNA from 1 species
AGAGUUUGAUCCUGGCUCAGAUUGAACGCUGGCGGCAUGCUUUACACAUGCAAGUCGGACGGCAGCACAGAGAAGCUUGCUUCUUGGGUGGCGAGUGGCGAACGGGUGAGUAACAUAUCGGAACGUACCGAGCAGUGGGGGAUAACUAAUCGAAAGAUUAGCUAAUACCGCAUAUCUUCUGAGGAAGAAAGCAGGGGACCAUUUGGCCUUGCGCUGUUUGAGCGGCCGAUAUCUGAUUAGCUAGUUGGUGGGGUAAAGGCCUACCAAGGCGACGAUCAGUAGCGGGUCUGAGAGGAUGAUCCGCCACACUGGGACUGAGACACGGCCCAGACUCCUACGGGAGGCAGCAGUGGGGAAUUUUGGACAAUGGGCGAAAGCCUGAUCCAGCCAUGCCGCGUGUCUGAAGAAGGCCUUCGGGUUGUAAAGGACUUUUGUCAGGGAAGAAAAGGGCGGGGUUAAUACCCCUGUCUGAUGACGGUACCUGAAGAAUAAGCACCGGCUAACUACGUGCCAGCAGCCGCGGUAAUACGUAGGGUGCGAGCGUUAAUCGGAAUUACUGGGCGUAAAGCGGGCGCAGACGGUUACUUAAGCAGGAUGUGAAAUCCCCGGGCUCAACCUGGGAACUGCGUUCUGAACUGGGUGACUAGAGUGUGUCAGAGGGAGGUAGAAUUCCACGUGUAGCAGUGAAAUGCGUAGAGAUGUGGAGGAAUACCGAUGGCGAAGGCAGCCUCCUGGGAUAACACUGACGUUCAUGCCCGAAAGCGUGGGUAGCAAACAGGAUUAGAUACCCUGGUAGUCCACGCCCUAAACGAUGUCGAUUAGCUGUUGGGCAGCAUGACUGCUUAGUAGCGAAGCUAACGCGUGAAAUCGACCGCCUGGGGAGUACGGUCGCAAGAUUAAAACUCAAAGGAAUUGACGGGGACCCGCACAAGCGGUGGAUGAUGUGGAUUAAUUCGAUGCAACGCGAAGAACCUUACCUGGUCUUGACAUGUACGGAAUCCUCCAGAGACGGAGGAGUGCCUUCGGGAGCCGUAACACAGGUGCUGCAUGGCUGUCGUCAGCUCGUGUCGUGAGAUGUUGGGUUAAGUCCCGCAACGAGCGCAACCCUU